UCCGCGUGGAGUUCAGACGACGGAGAAGAGGGCACCGACCACCGAGCCGGCAGCGGGCGGCGCCAACCGGGAAGGCGGUUCGUCCGCCACCGCGAGCGCGCGAGGUGGCGCGGCGGCGGCGUCAGCGCCGGUGUUGCCAGGCGAGAGAGCUAGUGGUUCCGCGUGUCCGGGGAGCAGACGUAUCACGGAUUCACCACAUCGUGGCAGGGCAGUCCUUCGGUGCUGCGGGAGCACUUUGGUUUGGAGACCUUCCGCCAAACGAAGAUGGACUUUCAGAGACCUGAACAAGCAUAGCAGAAUGACAUUUAUCGUCAUGUUCAUGGAGAAUGUGGGGCAAUUGCUAGAGAAAACAUCAUGAGACGGCGCAUACCUGCAGGAGAGCCGGCGAGUCGAAGGUACAGGUUCUCACCAACGGCACUGGCUUUCUCCGAGUCGAGAAGCUCCCCCAUCCAUACCAAGCACCUUGAGGGGUCACCCGUCGUGAGGAUAGUUCUCAAGUUGGCAUAAGCGUAUGCCGUGCACGAGCAGUUGCGGUCGCACUCAUCGGCACACUCCUCAAAGGUUCUGUUCCUGAUGUACAAGAACUUGUCCGGCACCUUCAUCCCUGGUAAGGUGAAGAAAUGGUCUUGGCCACCGCAUCUCAGCUCCUCCUUUCUUCGGCAUCCUCUGGAAGAGUUGAGGCUAAAUCCAUCGGCCGGCUCGAAGCCAUCAAGGCACUUGCACUCCUGGAAGCUGCCGGUGAUGUCGCAGUAGCCGAACGGCCCGCAGGCGCCGUAGUGGAGACAGCCAUGGCCUGGUCGCUCGAAUGGGCUCGUCCAAGUCGAUGAUACGUUGUUCCAUGCCCGGAAGCUCACGUUCCCGGUGUAGUCCAGCUUCCAGUGUGUCAAAAUGCCAUCAGCUGCGUUGUAUAUCGCGUAGAUCUCCUCGCCAUUGUCAACGAUCUGGGACCAUAUGUACCUGGUGAGGCCGGUGGCCGUCGCGCCGUUCCAGACACCGCUGCGCCACGACGGGCUCGCCCCAUGCCAGAUGACGAUAUGGAGCCCCCACUGGUCAGGGUCACCGCUGAGGGAGAACUCGCAGGUGGACGGGUCGCGACGACCCCUCCAAGCAACUACGCGCACCGCCUCAUGGUUCUUGUAUGUUCGUCCAUAGCUUGAAGCCAGGGAGGCCAGGGAGGAUCGUGUCCGUGGGGUGAUCGGGCAACCGGAGCACGAAGUUGCCCGUGUUCUGCAGCACCGCGGUGGCUCCACCACCUCCGAUGGUGACCGUGUUCGCCGUGGUCCCCUUGGAGUCGGAUAGCACAAGCCCGGAGGUGUUGGUAACAGCCAGCCUCGCCGUAUGGGUGGUGAUUGGGUUGUCGCGGUUGGCGACCCAGACAUAGGUGCGCUCCGGGAUGUUGUUGUACCAUAUGCCAAGGUAGAGCAGGCUUGGGGUUGAGUUGGUGGUGGUCAGGGAGAAGAAGCCGACAGCAAAGACGCCGCCAUCCGAGAUGAGCUUGUCGCCGCCGGGGAAGAUGAGUGGCUUUGCCGGUGUUAGGCGGUCAUCGGAUUGGCAGAAACUAAUCAAGAACAUGAAGAUGACUACAUGCAGUCUGGUCAUAUUCUCUUGUAAAUUCCUUGGAAAGCACUACAAUCCUACAUAGAGACGAUAGAACAGAGUUGUGAGAUUAUUGGGCCAACCUUCUUGUCGGCAGUAUAGAGUAACUAGUGCAGCUAGCUUCGUAAAAGAGUAGGAUUAUACUAUCGUAAUUGUUAUAUUUCCCAGGCCCUGAAAUAGCGCAAUAGAUAUUCUGUAUUCCUGUGUUGAGAGUGAGAAAAUUGGGAUUAUACUACCGUA